rnacentral:sRNA from 1 species
UGCGCCUGCAACGGAGGCAGCCUUAUCCAUCUAUUAUGUGUUUUGCAGGCAACAGGGUGAGGUAUCCUCUCGUGAUCCGCAAUUUUGCGGAUUCAAAAUCCUUC